rnacentral:tRNA from 1 species
CGACGUAGCUCAAUGGCAGAGCAGCUGAUUUGUAAUCAGCAGGUUGCGGGUUCAAGUCCCAUCGUCGG